UGGCUCCACGCCUGAUCUGCCACAAGAUGUGGUGACAGCCACUAGCCUGGAUGGCUUUAAGAAGGGCUUAGCUAAAUUAAUAGAGGACAAGUCUAUCAGUGGCUAUUAGUCUGGGGGCUAUAGGCCACCUCCAGACUCAGAGAUCGUUGGUCCAUCAUCAGGCUGUGACUGUUCUGUCCUCCUGUCUCUCUCUGACAGCUAGGAAGGAAGGAAAGAAGAUUCAGUUUUGUGAUUCUUUCAGGACUGGCACACCGUGAGAUCAUAUACUCAAUCAAAAACUGUGUUCUACCCAGAUUUGGAAGCUGUGUGUGCUCCCAAUUUUCAGUUGUGUGGAAAUAAGCUGAGAUUUGUAUUGAAGCCAACAGUUUGUAUAAUAAACCAAGGAUUUUAUGAAGGUUUCAUAUGUCUCCAGAGACUUUGAAAAAGGCUGGGAAUACUUCAGAAUGCAAGUGGACUGUGAGUUGCUUAGGAACAGAUUCCUGAGACAGAGCAAUAAAUGUACGUAAAAUUUGUAUGUGGUGGACGUUGUAUUGGCAUUUGCAUGCUUCUGAAUUAAUGCUCGAACAGCAGUGUUAUUGUGACAGGUUUCCUAUAACAGAGUAUGGUAUAAAUAAAUAUUUUUGUUGAUUAAAAAAUGUAUGAUGGAAAUCAUUAAAACCUAAC